rnacentral:rRNA from 1 species
CCUACGGGAGGCAGCAGUGGGGAAUUUUGGACAAUGGGCGCAAGCCUGAUCCAGCAAUGCCGCGUGAGUGAAGAAGGCCUUCGGGUUGUAAAGCUCUUUUGUCAGGGAAGAAACGGUGGGAGCUAAUAUCUCCCGCUAAUGACGGUACCUGAAGAAUAAGCACCGGCUAACUACGUGCCAGCAGCCGCGGUAAUACGUAGGGUGCAAGCGUUAAUCGGAAUUACUGGGCGUAAAGCGUGCGCAGGCGGUUUUGUAAGUCUGUCGUGAAAGCCCCGGGCUCAACCUGGGAAUUGCGAUGGAGACUGCAAGGCUUGAAUCUGGCAGAGGGGGGUAGAAUUCCACGUGUGGCAGUGAAAUGCGUAGAGAUGUGGAGGAACACCGAUGGCGAAGGCAGCCCCCUGGGUCAAGAUUGACGCUCAUGCACGAAAGCGUGGGGAGCAAACAGGAUUAGAUACCCUGGUAGUCCACGCCCUAAACGAUGUCUACUAGUUGUCGGGUUUUAAUUAACUUGGUAACGCAGCUAACGCGUGAAGUAGACCGCCUGGGGAGUACGGUCGCAAGNUUAAAACUUAAAUGAAUUGACGG